rnacentral:rRNA from 1 species
UGCAGUCGAGCGGGGGAUGUUGCUUCGUGCCUGACCAGCGGCGGACGGGUGAGUUGCUUAGGAAUCUGCCUAUUAGUGGGGGACAACAUCUCGCAAGGGAUGUAUAAUACCGCAUACGUCCUACGGGAGAAAGCAGGGGACCUUCGGGCCUUGCGCUAAUAGAUGAGCCUAAGUCGGAUUAGCUAGUUGGUGGGGUAAAGGCCUACCAAGGCGACGAUCUGUAGCGGGUCUGAGAGGAUGAUCCGCCACACUGGGACUGAGACACGGCCCAGACUCCUACGGGAGGCAGCAGUGGGGAAUAUUGGACAAUGGGGGGAACCCUGAUCCAGCCAUGCCGCGUGUGUGAAGAAGGCCUUUUGGUUGUAAAGCACUUUAAGCGAGGAGGAGGCUACCGAGAUUAAUACUCUUGGAUAGUGGACGUUACUCGCAGAAUAAGCACCGGCUAACUCUGUGCCAGCAGCCGCGGUAAUACAGAGGGUGCAAGCGUUAAUCGGAUUUACUGGGCGUAAAGCGCGCGUAGGUGGCCAAUUAAGUCAAAUGUGAAAUCCCCGAGCUUAACUUGGGAAUUGCAUUCGAUACUGGUUGGCUAGAGUAUGGGAGAGGAUGGUAGAAUUCCAGGUGUAGCGGUGAAAUGCGUAGAGAUCUGGAGGAAUACCGAUGGCGAAGGCAGCCAUCUGGCCUAAUACUGACACUGAGGUGCGAAAGCAUGGGGAGCAAACAGGAUUAGAUACCCUGGUAGUCCAUGCCGUAAACGAUGUCUACUAGCCGUUGGGGCCUUUGAGGCUUUAGUGGCGCAGCUAACGCGAUAAGUAGACCGCCUGGGGAGUACGGUCGCAAGACUAAAACUCAAAUGAAUUGACGGGGGCCCGCACAAGCGGUGGAGCAUGUGGUUUAAUUCGAUGCAACGCGAAGAACCUUACCUGGUCUUGACAUAGUAAGAACUUUCCAGAGAUGGAUUGGUGCCUUCGGGAACUUACAUACAGGUGCUGCAUGGUUGUCGUCAGCUCUCCGUGAGAUGUUGGGUUAAGUCCCGCAACGAGCGCAACCCUUUUCCUUAUUUGCCAGCGGUUAAGCCCGGGAACUUU